rnacentral:rRNA from 1 species
AACGAACGCUGGCGGCGUGCUUAACACAUGCAAGUCGAACGAGAAAUCCUGAGCAAUCGGGAGAGUAAAGUGGCGCACGGGUGAGUAACGCGUGGGUAACCUACCCUUCAAUCGGGGAUAACUCCGCGAAAGCGGGGUUAAUACCUAAUAAUAUUCUGGUCCCAAGGGGAUUGGAAUCAAAGGUGGCCUCUGCAUGCAAGCUACCGUUGAAGGAUGGGCCCGCGUACCAUUUAGCUUGUUGGUAGGGUAAUGGCCUACCAAGGCAACGAUGGUUAGCUGGUCUGAGAGGAUGGCCAGCCACACUGGAACUGAGACACGGUCCAGACUCCUACGGGAGGCAG